rnacentral:rRNA from 1 species
GAUGAACGCUGGCGGCGUGCCUAAUACAUGCAAGUCGAGCGAACAGACGAGGAGCUUGCUCCUCUGACGUUAGCGGCGGACGGGUGAGUAACACGUGGAUAACCUACCUAUAAGACUGGGAUAACUUCGGGAAACCGGAGCUAAUACCGGAUAAUAUAUUGAACCGCAUGGUUCAAUAGUGAAAGACGGUUUUGCUGUCACUUAUAGAUGGAUCCGCGCCGCAUUAGCUAGUUGGUAAGGUAACAGCUUACCAAGGCAACGAUGCGUAGCCGACCUGAGAGGGUGAUCGGCCACACUGGAACUGAGACACGGUCCAGACUCCUACGGGAGGCAGCAGAAGGGAAUCUUCCGCAAUGGGCGAAAGCCUGACGGAGCAACGCCGCGUGAGUGAUGAAGGUCUUCGGAUCGUAAAACUCUGUUAUUAGGGAAGAACAAAUGUGUAAGUAACUAUGCACGUCUUGACGGUACCUAAUCAGAAAGCCACGGCUAACUACGUG